GCACAAGCGGUGGAUGAUGUGGAUUAAUUCGAUGCAACGCGAAAACCUUACCUACCCUUGACAUGUCCGGAAUCCUGCAGAGAUGCGGGAGUGCCCGAAAGGGAAUCGGAACACAGGUGCUGCAUGGCUGUCGUCAGCUCGUGUCGUGAGAUGUUGGGUUAAGUCCCGCAACGAGCGCAACCCUUAUCAUUAGUUGCUACGCAAGGGCACUCUAAUGAGACUGCCGGUGACAAACCGGAGGAAGGUGGGGAUGACGUCAAGUCCUCAUGGCCCUUAUGGGUAGGGCUUCACACGUCAUACAAUGGUCGGUACAGAGGGUUGCCAAGCCGCGAGGUGGAGCCAAUCCCAGAAAGCCGAUCGUAGUCCGGAUUGUUCUCUGCAACUCGAGAGCAUGAAGUCGGAAUCGCUAGUAAUCGCGGAUCAGCACGCCGCGGUGAAUACGUUCCCGGGCCUU
rnacentral:rRNA from 1 species